rfam:Camelus ferus unplaced genomic scaffold scaffold388, whole genome shotgun sequence.
GGAGGGUGCAGCUCAGUGGUAGAGCGUGUGCUUGGCAUGCAUGAGGUCCUGGGUUCAAUCCCCAGUCCCUCCA